GACAGCAAAAUAUAUUUCUAAUAUAUGGCUCUCUCAGUGUGAGUUAUAUCAUAGAUGAAACUCCAAGAGAACAUAUUGAAGGUGUACUCAAGUCCUCACCUAAUUUGUCAAGCAAAAUGCCCAGGGAGGCCUCCCCCCCUCUAAUCAAGCUAAAAAUGUAUCAACAUCUUUUCCGAUCAAGGGAGUCCAAAUGCCAAAUUAUGUGGAAAAAAAUGUUGACUCACAGCUCUAAUAAAAUGAUAAAGAUACCUUUU
rnacentral:misc_RNA from 1 species